CAUACAAGCAUCGUGUCUGUAGUAUACAUACUUUUGUGUACACACUCAUGGCCGUGCAUGCGCACUUUUGAGCAGAGUUACUCACAAGCAGUGAUGCCAGAAACGGGUCCCGCGGCUCACGGCUCAGCAAUGGAAGGGUGGAAACAGUACGUUAAAUUCGAUGCGCACCGAAACAGAAUCGGAUUGACGACUUCGGUGGAAACUAGAUCUAUGAUGGUAUAAAUAAGCUCACUGACCAAAAACGCCGGCGUGUAGCCGCUCUUAAGUUUUCUUCUAUUUUAAGCUUGCGUCAAUUGAAAAAGUUGAUCACCACUAAAAGUUGUUCAUCACUAAAAUUCCAUAUAUCCACAUCGGCAGUUACAAUGAACAGUAAGGUAUAAAUAUAAUUUGAUGUGAAAAGUUUUAAUCUUAUAUAUAUUGUGGGAUAUUAUUUAUAAGAAAAAGGGAGACACAACGAUCUGCAACUCAUUUUUUUGCUAUUAGGAAAAAUUAAAGGAGAAUUACUUUUCUAAAUUUUGUAACAUUUGUCUAUAUGUCAUGAAUCAUUGUCAGUUUUACAUAACAUCUUAGUUUUCUAUAUAUAAAUAACUAAUAUUCCUAAUGUUUCUCAUA